rnacentral:rRNA from 1 species
CACGUAGGGUGCGAGCGUUGUCCGGAAUUAUUGGGCGUAAAGAGCUCGUAGGCGGUGUGUCGCGUCGGCCGUGAAAACCUGCAGCUUAACUGUGGGCUUGCGGUCGAUACGGGCAUCACUGGAGUUCGGCAGGGGAGACUGGAAUUCCUGGUGUAGCGGUGAAAUGCGCAGAUAUCAGGAGAACACGGUGGCGAAGGCGGCUCUGGCCGUGACUAACU